AUUGAAUGAUUAAGAGCUCGUUCAGUAUUGUUUUCAUGAGGCUUCAGGAGCCUGAUGUAGAGUUGACCUCUGGUGGACGGCCGGAUGGUCGAGUCAGUCUGGUCCUGACACUCCUAUAACCCACAACUCAACAUGUCUGCUCGUGGUGGUGGAAAGAAACCUGCUCAGCCCUCCAGAAAAAACAGCGAGGACAUGGGUACAAAGGAGGGUGCCACCAAUUUACCAGAGAAGAAAACGAAAGAACCGAAGGCCCCUGCUGCCAAAGGUGGCGCCAAGAGUUCCGCUGCCCCUAAGAAGAACCCAAAGAAGUGAUUGGCCGCCUGCUUGUUUCGCAUUGUUUAAUGUUUUAGUAGAUUAACUUAUAAUAAAUUAUGAUUAUGAAA